rnacentral:misc_RNA from 1 species
GAUGAAGAACGUAGCGAAAUGCGAUAAGUAAUGCGAAUUGCAGAAUUUCCGUGAGUCAUCGAAUCUUUGAACGCACAUUGCGCCCGCCAGCACUCUGGCGGGCAUGCCUGUUCGAGCGUCAUUUCAACCAUCAAGCCCCAGGCUUGCGUUGGAGCCCUGCGGCUGCCGCAGCCUCCUAAAAGCAGUGGCGGGCUCGCUAUCACACCGAGUGCAGUAGAUUACUCUUCGCUCAGGGCGUGCAGCGGGUUCCGGCCGUGAAACCCCCUACUUUUAAAGGUUGACCUCGGAUCAGGUAGGAAUACCCGCUGAACUUAAGCAUAUCAAUAAGCGGAGGA